rnacentral:tRNA from 1 species
GGGCAUUUGGUCUAGUGGUAUGAUUCUCGCUUUGGGUGUGAGAGGUCUUAGGUUUAAUUCCCAGAAUGUCCU